GACCCCGGCUGCGACUCGGAUCCGUUUAUUCCAAAUGUCCCAGCCCACGCCGUGCCCAGAGUGUGGCGACACGAGGCCAAACUGCACGGAGUCUUGCUGUGUUGCCCAGGCUGGAGUGCAGUGGCAUGAUCUCUGUUCACUUCAACCUCCGCCUCCUGAGUUCAAGCGAUUCUCCUGCCUCAGCUUCCAAAGCAGCUGAACUACAGCAGGGAUGACGGCGCUCCUGGAGGCUGGCUGGGAAGCUGGUCAGGGUCCCAGGACUCUGACACCCCCAAUGGCCCUUGUAGCCUUGGGGAGUCCUGUGAUCCAAGGCUGGAGGACUGAGUCCCCUCCAGGUCUCAUAGCAGACGAAUAGCAGCUUCACCCAGGCCUGUUUUGUCGUGGCCCCAUUCAGAGGCCGCCCUCCUCUGUGGUUUAGAGCGUGCCCUGGAAUCCCUAGCACAGCCAGGUGACGAGAGUUCCCCGCUGGCCCCCUGCUGCAGGAACACAAAGUACCUUUGCACAUAACCUUUCUUUGUCCUCUGCUGGUGACGGCAAAUAGGGCAGGCCCAGGGCAACGUGGUAAGGUGGCAGAAGUUUGUUUUGGACAGUGUUUGCAGCUUCUCUGUUCCCUUUCCACCAGGGGUUACCUCCUGCUGGCUGACCCCUUCCUGUGCUGCGGGCUGGAAUAUAGGGUUUAACCCUGUUAUAACCCAGAGGAACACAAAAGGAGGAACAUCAGGCUUUAUGGAGAGACUGGAAAUGAAGUGGAGGUUUUCCUUGCUCAUGAAACCUGGCUCACCCUACAGGUAGUCCCAAAGAGAGCUUGUGAUUUUCUUUCCCCUUUGGUCCCCCGACCCCUUCAGAGCUCUCUGGGAAGCUAUGCUCUCUCACUGCUUUCCCUCCCCUGAUCAGAGUCCCUGUGCCAAGGCUCCUGGAUACUGGGGCUGGAAAUCCUCCUGUCCCUUCCACCACUCCUGUGCCCUCCAGGGAAGGGGUCUGGGGUCUCGGGGCUCACCCCCACCUGUGUGCCAGUCCCUGUGCUAGGCCUGCACAGACAUCAGCUCGCUGAUCACUACGAGAACCUCAACUCUUCUCCCCAUUUCAUGAGGACACCGAGGCUCAGAGGUGUUCGUGAUACUCAAGAUCACACUGCCAGAGCGUGAGUUACUGGGAUUUGAACUUUGGUCCGUGUGGCUGCAAAGCCAGUGCUGCUAUGAUUCUCUUUCCACUUGCUGCAGCCCACGUCCCUCUGGGCAAGUCUGACACCCUAGCUGCCCUCAACUGCCUGGCCCCGUGGCGUCCCAGAGGGCGAGGGGAGCACAGGGACUGGGCACAGAGGCCAGCUGGGGUCAAGGCAAGGGGGCUGCCCAGCACAGUGGUUCUGCUCCAGAGGUGCAGUCAGACUGCCUGGGUUGGCUCAUGCCUGGGUCUGUCAUCGUGGGCAGCGUGACCAGCCUAAACCUCAGUUUUCUCUUUUGUCACCUAUGUGCUAAAAAUACCUAUUUCUGGAGAUUCUUGUGAGGAUUAAAUGAGAUCUUCCAAGCCAAGUGCUUUGCAUAGUGACGCAGGGUAGGUGCUCAAGAAAUUUUGUUGUCUGCCUGUGGUCUGGGUGGGGGCAGGGUGGGGCUGCGAUGGUGAAGAAAUGACACAGAAACCCACAGGAAACUUCAUCAUCUAGAUGGUACAUGGAUGGCACAUUCAAGGGAAGUAACAAAACGAGAAGAAAAAACUUUUACAUUUUGGCUGAGCAAAGGCAACAAUAUAAUUACCAUCAUUUAUAAAAACUGCUUCCCAUUAAUGUCUAAUUCCCACAAAGCGCAACAAUGAUUAUCUCAUUAACUAUGUGUCAGAUUAACUUUGUUGCAGGUUUUAUUUGAUUAAAACAGUGAACUCACAACACGUAUUAUGCUCAUUCUUCAUAGUUUGUGGUUUCUGGAGCAUAGUCCUCUGUUGGCAACUUUUUCUAAAUUAGAGGGCACGUUUCUGGGUAAGUUGUUUUUUAGAAAUUUAGUUAUCUGGAGUCCCAAAGCACCCACGGUGGAGGGAAGGGCUCAGAGCUUCCUAUUAGCUUCCACCUUUGGAUUUGCUAAGGCCAGUGAUGAAAGAUGAAUUAUGUAUCCAUAUUUUCAAGACUUUGGGGACUGGGCUUGGGCUUGGGCCGGGCGCUGUGGCUCAUGCCUGUAAUCCCUGUACUUUGGGAGGCCGAGACAGGUGCAUCACAUGAGGCCAGGAGUUCGAGACCAGCCUGGCCAAAAUGGUGAAACCCUGUCUCUACUAAAAAUACAAAAAUUAGCCAGUCAUGGUGGCAGCACCUGUAAUCCCAGCUACUCAGGAGGCUGAGCCAGGAGAAUCACUUGAACCCAGAAGGUGGAGGUUGCAGUGAGCCAAGAUCAUGCCACUGCACUCCAGCUUAGCCAACAGAGCAAAACUCUGUCUCAAAAAAAAAAAAGUCUUAUUCGAAUAUUUUACUGUGUGCAUUUGUAUUACUUUUGUGACAUAUAUAAUUUUUUAAUGUCUGGUAGCGGAAGAUACUGUUUUUAUUCCCUCCCCCUCCCCGAUAUAUUGAAAACUCUAAAGUUGUUAUAUCCUGGAUUCUGUUUCCUCCAUGAGGAGAAAAGUUUGUUAUCUGUCAUAUGCACUUAAGCACCUGAUGUUUUUCUCAUUUUCUGGUAGGUGGUGCAGACCCCUGUCCCCUCCUCCUCACCCCUAUCUUAACAGGGAGAAGCUGCCUGUGGACAGCUCCCAGCUGCACAGGGAAAUCGCUGAAGAUUUCUAAUAGGGAAGUGUCACACUUUGCCAACUCUGGAGAAGACAGAAUAAUUGGCUGGAAUCACAGACCGGACGGAAUCUCGCUCUGUCUCCCAGGCUGGAGUGCACUGGCGCAAUCUUGGCUCACUGCAACCUCCACCUCCCAGCUUCGAGUGAUUCUUCUGCCUCGGCCACCCAAGUAGCUGGGACUACAGGCACGUGCCACCAAGCCCGGCUGAUUUUUAUAUUUUUAGUAGAGAUGAGGUUUCACCAUGUUGGUCAGGCUGGUCUCGAACUCCUGACCUUGUGAUCAGCCCACCUCGGCCUCCCAAAGUGCUGGGAUUAGAGGCGUGAGCCACCGCAUCCAGCCAGGCAUAGAAUAUUUUUAAACGGUCAAGUAAAAUGUAACUUUCCCUCCCCACAACACACUUGGUAAUCCCUAAGACACCCCCACCCCCCGACCAUCUCCCUGCUCUGGUAGUUCAGGAAUGUAGGCGCUCAAUUGACCAAGGGUCAGGAGUUCUGAGGAAGCAGACAGCAGCUGAGCAUUUAUUCAGUAAGUAUCAACUCUACCUUUGGGGUAUCAGGUAUGUGGGGGUCCCAGGGAAUUGAGACCCAACCCUGGUUCAAGAGGAGCCUGAGACGGGUGAGACCUUUCAUGGUUAACCUGGCCUCAGGGAUGGCUGUGAGGGGCCGAGGGAGGAGGAGGGAUCUGCACCUCUCUGGCUCCCAUGCCCCCAGCCUGCAGUCUCUGGGUGGAGGGAGGCCCCUCCUCUCCAUCACUCACUGCUCUUUCCUCUCCUAUCGCAGCUUGACUCUCCAAUGCACUGCGGAUUGCCUUGGGCCCCUCUGGUCGAGUUUUGGGGGGCUCAGCUCACCCCUCUGAAUGUGUGUGUGUUCUCCCCUGGGCCCCAUUGCUGGUUCCUCCCAGUCACCCUUUCCCCCACAUCCACUGAUGAGGCCCCAAGCUCAGAAAGUUUAGGAGACCUGCCAGGGUCACCCUUCUGGGCUGGGCAUGGCAGGAGGAGGGUUGUGGGAGGGCAGCUAUGUACCAAGUCCAGUGAGGUUAUUUCACCCCAGCAAACAGGUCCUGCUGGUUUGCCAUUUGGAGACAGUUUGGCCCCAAUUCCCAUGGGCUGGUUAAAUGGUAACUGGUCUUCAGUCGUUUGUGGAAAUGUGACAGGGCACAGGCCACCAGCUAGGCCGGAAAAGCCGUGUGAGGCCCAGCUAGCUCUGGGCAUUGGACUGCAAGCCAUGCUUCCCUCCCCUCCCCUCCCCUCCCCUCUCCUCUCCUCUCCUCUCUUUUGAGACAGAGUCUCACUCUGUCACCCAGGCUGGAGUGCAGUGUCGCGAUCUUGGCUCACCACAACUUCUGCCUCCCAGGUUCAAGCAAUUCUCCUGCCUCAGCCUCUUGAGUAGCUGGGAUUACAGGCGCCCACCACCACGCCCAGCUAAUUUUGUAUUUUUAGUAGAAACAGGGAUUUACCAUGUUGGCCAGGCUGGUCUCAAACUCCUGACCUCAAGAGAUCCACCCGCCUCAGCCUCCCAAAGUGUUGGGAUUACAGGCAUGAGCCACUGUGCCUGGCUUUUUUCUUUCUUUCUUUUUCUUUUCUUUUCUUUCUUCCUUUUUGUCCCCCCCAAGGUUUCACCCUGUUGCCCAGGCUGGAGUACAGUGGCAUGAUUACGGCUCACUAUAACCUUGAACUCCCAGGCUCAGGUGAUCCUCCAGCCUCAGCCUCAGCCUCCCAAGUACUAGAAGUACUAGGACUACAGACACAUGCCACGCCUGGCUAAUUUUUUUGUUUUUUUUUUUUUGAGACUGGGUCUGGCUAUGCUGCCCAGGCUAAGCAAUACUUAUUUUCCUUAUUUUUAUUCUAAUAAGAUUCCAGAAUCUUCCCCUUUCACAUGUCUUCCUAGCCAGAUGAGUAAGAGCAAGGAGGAGUGGUGAUGUUAAUAACAGAGUGACACAGCCAUUGAGGGCCUUUCAUUGGCAGAUUUCUUAACCAAGAGCAGCUGUGCCCAUUUUACAGGAGGAACAACUGAGACAAAGAGGAGUGAGGUCACUAUGAGUCACUGGCCUUUCUGGCCUAACUCAGACUAGGCUCAAUAUGGCUGAGCCAAAGAGACAGAGCAGGCUGGGGGUGGGGAUGGAAAGAAACUCUGGUUCUUCAAAGAGAGUUGACUGUCCUUGUUGGCCUUAGACAUCACCCCUUCCCUUUAUUCAGUGCCUGCCUGAUUAGAGCUGGACAUACAGGAUCUCAUCUGCUCCCACAACCACCAUCUAAAAUAGGCAGAGCAGGUUUUACUUGCCCUGUGUUAGUUACAGACAAGGAAACAGAGUUACAGACAAGGAAACAGAGUCAGCAAGAUUAGGAGCCUUGUCCAGUUCCACAGCUGGUCAGGCCCAGGGAGACCAGGCCUCUGGACACCAGCUCAAGAUGCAGGCUUAUCUGCGAUUCCCAAGCUUAUACCAGGCCUGACUCUGUUUCCAGCGAAAGAACCCCAGGACAUAAUGUUUCUGAGCUGAGUGUUAGAUGGAUCAGGGGCUAAGGAUUUGGGAGGACCUUUCUUGAAAUUAACAGCUGCUUCGAGAGUGAGGCUUCCGACCCGCCCUUUAUUUCCUCUGGGCCUGGUUUGGCAGACCUCCACCCCCAGCCCACAAUCCCGGGUGGACAGAGGUAGUUCUCUCCAGCUUUUGGAGACCUCGGGGAGGAAGAAGCCUCGCUCACCCACUCCUAGACAGUGUGUGUGAGCCCUCAGGCACCCAGGGUGGGCAAUGCUUCCCAGGCAGAGAGGGCGUGCAAUGCAAGUGAGGUGUCCAUUAGACAGACCCAGGGCACUCCAAGCCCCAUAGAGUGACUCACUUUCUUUCUUGGCACCCCCAAACGACUCUACCUUCCUCAGCAGGUCUUGUGAAGGUGCAGUGACACGAUGUGCAUGAAAGAGCCUCGAGCAGGGCCUCGUGCACAACCUCCUGCUCCAGAUGCCUGGCUUCUCCAGGGCACCCCGAUGGGUGGCUCUGCCACCCCAGGACACUGGACUGGGGCCACCCUUACAGAACCGGUUCGAAGCCAAACAAUGGCACGUCGCAGUCCAGCUGAGCCGGAGGCCUCAGCAGGACAGAGUCUCACUCUGUUCCCCAGGCUGGAGUGCAGAAGUGCGAUCUCAGCUCACUACAACCUCUGCCUCCCGGGUUCAAGCAAUUCUCCUGCCUCAGCCUCCCGAGUAGCUGGGACUACAGGGAUAGGUGGUCUCUGACCCAGUCCACGGAGAUGCCCCCUUCUUGGAAGUUUCCAGGAAGAGAAAUUCGGUGACCUUUGCUGGCGAUGUUGCAGAGCCUCCUCUUACAACCGACAGCCUUCCUGUGUCCACCCUCCACACUUCUGCUUUCUCUGAAGCCUGAUUCCUUAAGAACUGUCUCUCUCUUUCUUUUUCUUUUUUUUUGAGAUGGAGUCUUGCUCUGUUGCCCAGCCUGGAGUGCAGUGGCACAAUCUCUGCUCACUGCAACCUCGGCCUCCCAGGUUCAAGUGAUUCUCCUGCCUCGGCCUCCCUAGUAGUUGGGGUUGCAGGUGUGCACAACCACACUCAGAUAGUUUUUGUAUUUUUAGUUCAGACAGGGUUUCACCAUGUUGGCCAGGCUGGUCUCAAAUUCCUGACCUCAGGUGAUCUGCCCGCCUCAGCCUCCCAAAGUGCUGGGAUUACAGGUGUGAGCCACUGCGCUCGGCCUCUCUCUUUCUUAACAACCUCUCUGAGGGCUCAAGGGGAAGGAACCCUACCCUUCAGCCCCGGGGCCCUAUUUUGCCUGCUGACUCUGAAGCUGAGACUCUGCCUGAUGCCACAGCCCCAGGAUCCGGGACCCUCCCUCUCCACCUGCAUCUCCUUUAUUUCUCAUUUAUUUAUUGAUUGAUUUUUUUUGAGACAGGGUCCCGCUCAGUCACUUGGGCUGGAGUGCUGUGGCACCAUCACAGCUCACUGCAGCCUCAGCCUCCCGGGCUCAAGCGAUCCUCCUACCUCAGCCUCCCAAGCAGCUGGGACCACAAGUGCCCACCACCAGGCCCAGCUAAUUUGUAAAUUUUUUUGUAGAGAGAGGGUCUUCCUAUGUUUCCCAGGCUCGUCUCCAACCCUUAGGCUUGAGUGAUCCUCCUGCCUUGGUCUCCCAAAGUGUUGGGGUUACAGGCACCAUGCCCAGCUGUGAAUCUCCCUUACUAAGGUCAACAAACACUAGUGACCUCCACUGAGAGCUGGUGAGAGCUAACCUCAUGCCAGGGAUGCCAGGAAUGGUUGGAUGGUGAAUGGUGUUGGGGUUCAGCUUGUGCUGGGCACACCUAAAGCCAGCCAGGGUUCCAGUCCCAUCAUGACCAGGCCCUGCCUGUCCCUUCAUUGAACAAGUAUUUCCUGAAGUCUGUGCUAUGUAAUAGGAAGCGGUUUUUUUUUUUUAAAGUCCCCAAACAAGCCAAGGAUGGAGGAGAAUUAAUAAAAGACAAACAAUGGAAUAA